GGAGGGGUAUCCAAGUGGUUAACGGAGCCUGACUGUAAAUCAGGUGCGCUACGGCACUACGGUGGUUCGAAUCCACCCCACUCCU
rnacentral:tRNA from 1 species